CUGAGAUACACAGUUGGGUUCCUGUGGGGGAGGCCAGGGUGGAGGAGAAGGGCAGAGAGCAUCCCAGGAAUCAAGGCCGCUGUUCUUGUUUCCCCCUGGCUGACUUGGCCCGCACUGACUUGCCUGCCCAUGAGAGAGCCAUCCCCACCCAGCCUCUCUGUCUGUGAACACCUCCCCUGGGCGCAGCAGCUCACCGGGGCGCCAGCAGCAUUGGUGAGCCAGCUCCUCACUGGUGAAAGGGCACAGCCCCAGCCCCUGCUCCUAAAGCCUUGGUCAGAAGGAAUCCAGGCAAUCACCUGCUGGAGCCCAGCACCUUACUGAUGAGAGGAUGCAGGACCAAGUCCGUGCCUAGAGCAAAGUUCAGUGGGGAGUGAGCCAAGGAGGGAGGAGGCACAACCGAAAGGACACAGGAGUCCUAUCCACUACUCUGCAGGCUACGUGCAGGCUGGACUGGAGGUCACUCGCACAGCAUUUUAAGGAGGGAGGUACAGCAAUAGAGAUCAGAAAUUGUAAGUGACCAGAACCAACCAAAGGAAGUCCGUCUGUCCCAGAUCUUGAAGAAGAAGAAGAAGAAGAAGAAGAAGAAGAAGAAGAAGAAGAAGAAGAAGGAAAGAAAGAAAAGAAGAAAGAAAGAAAGAAAGAAAGAAAGAAAGAAAGAAAGAAAGAAAGAAAGAAAAAAGAAAGAAAGAAAGAAAGAAAAAAAGAAAGAAAGGAGAGGGCCCCUCUCAUCCUCAAGUUUCAGCAUCCACAAAUAACAAAAAAAAAUGAUUUAUAAUUAUUCAAGACUUCCAUAUUGAUGAAAUCCUCUAUCUUACUAUAUCCUCACACCUAUAUCCAUAACGUAGGAGCUGGACCCACCAUUUUGUAAGCGAUGAAAGGGCUGUGUGAGAGAAGUCAGGUGACUUCUCCAGGGUCUUACUGCUAGUAAAUGGCAGCAAUAGCUUUUCCCAAACAUUCCAGCCAGCACCUGCAUAUACAGUAAGCUUCACCACUUAAGACAGCCAGGAGAAUAUAAACAGACACACAUAUACAGCAUCCCAACCCCCAACCCCUCCCUCAAGCAACAUCUACCUACUAAUAAAGAUCAGAUUAUCUUAACCUCCAUAGAACCAUGUAUGUAUAGAGGUCAAGCAAAUGAGUAAAACAGUUUAUCAUACAUGCACUAAUUUAAAAGGUUUCAAAAAAAAAAAGGUUUCAACAAACAUGAACAUCCAGGGAAAGUAGGAAAGAAGGACAAUAGACCAGUCCUUCUCAAACUUUAAUAUGGAUAUUAAUUAUCUGGCAUGAUACGAAGAAUAAUGCCCCCCCAAAGAUAUCCACAUCUCCAGAGCCUGUGAAUAUGUUUAUGUUUUCUUACCUGACUAAAAGGACUUUCUUGAUAGGAUUAAGUGAAGGAAUUUGAGAAAGGGACAUAGGAUGGUCCAGAUAUAACCGCUAGGGAGGUGGGAAGGUCAGAGUCAGAAGAUAUGACAAGCAAACUAGAAGCCAGAGGUCAGAAUCAGAGAAAGUGAUUUGAAAAUGCUGCUACAGUGCUGGUUUUAGAUGGAAGAUGGGACCAUAGGCAAGAAAUGUAGGAAGGCUCUAAAAGCUGGCCAAGGCACAGAAAGAAUUCUCUAGAACUUCCAAGAGGAACACAGCCCUACCAACACCUUGAUUUUAGCCCAGUGAGAUCCACUUUGGA